rnacentral:rRNA from 1 species
AUUGAACGCUGGCGGCAGGCCUAACACAUGCAAGUCGAACGAGUGGCGGACGGGUGAGUAAUGUCUGGGAAACUGCCUGAUGGUGGGGGAUAACUACUGGAAACGGUAGCUAAUACCGCAUACCAUCGGAUGUGCCCAGAUGGGAGUAGCUAGUAGGGGGGGUAACGGCUCACCUAGGCGACGAUCCCUAGCCGGUCUGAGAGGAUGACCAGCCACACAGGACCUGAGACACGGUCCAGACUCCUACGGGAGGCAGCAGUGGGGAAUAUUGCACAAUGGGCGCAAGCCUGAUGCAGCCAUGCCGCGGGUAUGAAGAAGGCCUUCGGGUUGUAAAGUACUUUCAGCGGGGAGGCGUUACCAGCAGAAGAAGCACCGGCUAACUCCGUGCCAGCAGCCGCGGUAAUUUC